UCGCUGUGAAGAUGCAGUGUACCCGCGGCAAGACGGAAAGACCCCGUGAACCUUUACUAUAGCUUGACACUGAACAUUGAGCCUUGAUGUGUAGGAUAGGUGGGAGGCUUAGAAGUGUGGACGCCAGUCUGCAUGGAGCCGACCUUGAAAUACCACCCUUUAAUGUUUGAUGUUCUAACGUUGACCCGUGAUCCGGGUUGCGGACAGUGUCUGGUGGGUAGUUUGACUGGGGCGGUCUCCUCCUAAAGAGUAACGGAGGAGCACGAAGGUUGGCUAAUCCUGGUCGGACAUCAGGAGGUUAGUGCAAUGGCAUAAGCCAGCUUGACUGCGAGCGUGACGGCGCGAGCAGGUGCGAAAGCAGGUCAUAGUGAUCCGGUGGUUCUGAAUGGAAGGGCCAUCGCUCAACGGAUAAAAGGUACUCCGGGGAUAACAGGCUGAUACCGCCCAAGAGUUCAUAUCGACGGCGGUGUUUGGCACCUCGAUGUCGGCUCAUCACAUCCUGGGGCUGAAGUAGGUCCCAAGGGUAUGGCUGUUCGCCAUUUAAAGUGGUACGCGAGCUGGGUUUAGAACGUCGUGAGACAGUUCGGUCCCUAUCUGCCGUGGGCGCUGGAGAACUGAGGGGGGCUGCUCCUAGUACGAGAGGACCGGAGUGGACGCAUCACUGGUGUUCGGGUUGUCAUGCCAAUGGCACUGCCCGGUAGCUAAAUGCGGAAGAGAUAAGUGCUGAAAGCAUCUAAGCACGAAACUUGCCCCGAGAUGAGUUCUCCCUGACCCUUUAAGGGUCCUGAAGGAACGUUGAAGACGACGACGUUGAUAGGCCGGGUGUGUAAGCGCAGCGAUGCGUUGAGCUAACCGGUACUAAUGAACCGUGAGG
rnacentral:rRNA from 1 species